CGCCUGUCGGGAACUUUCUGGCAGCGUGUUCGGGGAGGGUCGGGGAAGAAGAUCCCACACUGCUUUGAGACCGCUGUUGUAACUCGCCACCACCUCCGGCUUCUCUGCAGACUGAAAGGCAAGUUGUUGGAGGGAGCCCAGGAUUCUCAUAGCGAGCGAAGGCUUCCAAGGUGCGAGGGAGGGCAUCUGAGCAGGCCUCUCAGGCGCUCAGGAGAUGGUGUCCUGCCUCUGCCAGCUUCCAGGACUCCUGCUUCCCUGGUCUGUGUCCUCAUCACCCUCGCCUAUGCCCCUGUGUAAGCACACAUACGGAUAUAUACAUGUGUGUGUAUGUAUGAAUAUGCACACACAU